rnacentral:piRNA from 1 species
UGGCAUUGAGUGUUCUUAGCUGCAGAGGU